rnacentral:tRNA from 1 species
AAGCCCCGGAGAUCCUAAAUCUCAAUUCCAAGUUUGCAACUUGGCGUGUAAAAAACACCUCGAGGCU